rnacentral:rRNA from 1 species
UUUGACCUCAAAUCAGGUAGGACUACCCGCUGAACUUAAGCAUAUCAAUAAGCGGAGGAAAAGAAACUAACAAGGAUUCCCCUAGUAACGGCGAGUGAAGAGGGAAAAGCUCAAAUUUGAAAUCUGGCGGCUUACGCCGUCCGAGUUGUAAUGUAGAGAAGUGUUUUCCGCAUUGGACCGUGUACAAGUCCUUUGGAACAAGGCGUCAUAGAGGGUGAGAAUCCCGUCUACGACACGGACUACCAAUGCAUUGUGAUACACUCUCAACGAGUCGAGUUGUUUGGGAAUGCAGCUCAAAAUGGGUGGUAAAUUCCAUCUAAAGCUAAAUACAGGCGAAAGACCGAUAGCGAACAAGUACCGUGAGGGAAAGAUGAAAAGCACUUUGGAAAGAGAGUUAAACAGUACGUGAAAUUGUUGAAAGGGAAACGCUUGAAGUCAGUCGCGUCUUCAGAAAUUCAACCUGGCUUCUGCCUGGUGUACUUUUCUGUUGGACGGGCCAGCAUCAGUUUUGGCCGCCAGAGAAAGGUGGGAGGAAGGUGGCACCUCCGGGUGUGUUAUAGCCUCUCAUCGUAUGUGGCGGCUGGGACUGAGGACCGCAGCACGCCUUUAUUGGCCGGGGUUCGCCCACGUAUCGUGCUUAGGAUGCUGGCGUAAUGGCUUUAAACGACCCGUCUUGAAACACGGACCAAGGAGUCUAACAUGCCUGCGAGUAUUUGGGUGGCAAACCCAUAUGCGGAAUGAAAGUGAACAGUUGGGACUUCUGUCAUGGAAGGCACCGACGCCCGGACCAGACCUAUUGUGACGGAUCCGAGGUAGAGCAUGUAUGUUGGGACCCGAAAGAUGGUGAACUAUGCCUGAGUAGGGUGAAGCCAGAGGAAACUCUGGYGGAGGCUCGUAGCGAYUCUGACGUGCAAAUCGAUCGUCGMACUUGGGUAYAGGGGCGAAAGWCUAAUCGAAC